rnacentral:rRNA from 1 species
AGAGUUUGAUUUUGGCUCAGAUUGAACGCUGGCGGAAUGCUUUACACAUGCAAGUCGAACGAUGAACCUUAGCUUGCUAAGGGGAUUAGUGGCGAACGGGUGAGUAAUAUAUCGGAACGUGCCUUGUAAUGGGGGAUAACUAGUCGAAAGAUUAGCUAAUACCGCAUACGCCCUGAGGGGGAAAGUAGGGGAUCUUCGGACCUUACGUUAUAAGAGCGGCCGAUAUCUGAUUAGCUAGUUGGUGGGGUAAUGGCCUACCAAGGCGACGAUCAGUAGCUGGUCUGAGAGGACGACCAGCCACACUGGAACUGAGACACGGUCCAGACUCCUACGGGAGGCAGCAGUGGGGAAUUUUGGACAAUGGGCGCAAGCCUGAUCCAGCCAUUCCGCGUGAGUGAAGAAGGCCUUCGGGUUGUAAAGCUCUUUCGCAAGGGAAGAAAACUUACUUUCUAAUAAAGAGUGAGGCUGACGGUACCUUGAUAAGAAGCACCGGCUAACUACGUGCCAGCAGCCACGGUAAUACGUAGGGUGCGAGCGUUAAUCGGAAUUACUGGGCGUAAAGCGUGCGCAGGCGGUUUGGCAAGUCAGAUGUGAAAUCCCCGAGCUCAACUUGGGAACUGCGUUUGAAACUGCCAGACUAGAAUAUGUCAGAGGGGGGUAGAAUUCCACGUGUAGCAGUGAAAUGCGUAGAGAUGUGGAGGAAUACCAAUGGCGAAGGCAGCCCCCUGGGAUAAUAUUGACGCUCAUGCACGAAAGCGUGGGGAGCAAACAGGAUUAGAUACCCUGGUAGUCCACGCCCUAAA